rnacentral:rRNA from 1 species
UGAGGAAUAUUGGACAAUGGGCGCAAGCCUGAUCCAGCCAUGCCGCGUGCAGGAUGACGGUCCUAUGGAUUGUAAACUGCUUUUGUACAGGAAGAAACAGUUCUACGUGUAGAACCUUGACGGUACUGUAAGAAUAAGGAUCGGCUAACUCCGUGCCAGCAGCCGCGGUAAUACGGAGGAUCCAAGCGUUAUCCGGAAUCAUUGGGUUUAAAGGGUCCGUAGGCGGUUAGAUAAGUCAGUGGUGAAAGCCCAUCGCUCAACGGUGGAACGGCCAUUGAUACUGUCUGACUUGAAUUAUUAGGAAGUAACUAGAAUAUGUAGUGUAGCGGUGAAAUGCUUAGAGAUUACAUGGAAUACCAAUUGCGAAGGCAGGUUACUACUAAUGGAUUGACGCUGAUGGACGAAAGCGUGGGUAGCGAACAGGAUUAGAUACCCUGGU